rnacentral:rRNA from 1 species
CUACGGGCGGCAGCAGUGAGGAAUAUUGCACAAUGGGGGGAACCCUGAUGCAGCAACGCCGCGUGGAGGAUGACGCAUUUCGGUGUGUAACUCCUUUUAUAUGUCAAGAAAAUGACGGUAGCAUAUGAAUAAGCACCGGCUAACUCCGUGCCAGCAGCCGCGGUAAUACGGAGGGUGCAAGCGUUACUCGGAAUCACUGGGCGUAAAGGACGCGUAGGCGGGUUGGAAAGUCAGGUGUGAAAUCCUACAGCUUAACUGUAGAACUGCACUUGAAACUUCUAAUCUAGAGUAUGGGAGGGGGAGAUGGAAUUAGUGGUGUAGGGGUAAUAUCCGUAGAUAUCACUAGGAAUACCUAAAGCGAAGGCGAUCUCCUGGAACAUUACUGACGCUAAGGCGUGAAAGCGUGGGGAGCAAACAGGAUUAGAUACCCGAGUAGUC